rnacentral:tRNA from 1 species
AGCCGGAAUAGCUCAGUUGGUAGAGCAGAGGACUGAAAAUCCUCGUGUCACCAGUUCA